rfam:Aspergillus rambellii strain SRRC1468 contig00095, whole genome shotgun sequence.
GGGGUGAUGGCUCAGUUGGGAGAGCGUAUGACUGAAGAUCAACUUCAAUCCAGCCCACAGGCAAUCAUAAGGUCCCCGGUUCGAUCCCGGGUCACCCCA